UACGGAGGAUGCGAGCGUUAUCCGGAUUUAUUGGGUUUAAAGGGUGCGUAGGCGGGAUGCCAAGUCAGCGGUAAAAAUGCGGUGCUCAACGCCGUCGAGCCGUUGAAACUGGCGUUCUUGAGUGGGCGAGAAGUAUGCGGAAUGCGUGGUGUAGCGGUGAAAUGCAUAGAUAUCACGCAGAACCCCGAUUGCGAAGGCAGCAUGCCGGCUUCCGACUGACGCUGAAGCACGAAAGCGUGGGGAUCGAACAGG
rnacentral:rRNA from 1 species